AAACAUCAACAGCCAUGAUAGUAAAUGGGUGUGUUUUUAAUAACCUAUAUGGUGCACCCACCCACACGUGUAGUCACGAUGUUUCAAGAGGAAGAGUCAGAACUACACAAUCCAGAUGAUCAUGACUGUUACAACAGAUUGAGAGCAUCUAAUCUUGAUGAGCGCCAUGCCACUACACCUAAGCGCCCUAAAGCAUCAAGAAAGAGGACAUGGGGCCAAGAGUCAGAAGCCUCUGCUCCAGUGAACUCAGAUCUGUAAUACUUCGUUUUUAAGAUCAACAGCAGUUAACAGCCCAUCUCAAAAGGACCAGACUAAAGGAGGAUGAUCAUUGAUCAAGAGCUUUUCAUGUGUCAAUAACAAACAUGGUUUGUGUGCUUGGAAACUACAAAUCUCUUCAAAGUGGUACAAAGUGACUGGUACAACAAGGUGAGGUCAAAUUCUGCUUCCAAGGUCUCUGGUCCAGGCUCUUGCUGCUCAGUUCAGCAGCCAUUUUUAUAUUACAGUUAAGUUAAGUACACACCCAACUAUAGCUUCAGUGCAGUUAUCACUUAUUGUGCUAAAUAAGGUAUGCGGGAAUGUACAAAUAAUAACCAUGAAACUUCUACGCGCACAUAUCACUAGCAGCAUAGGGCAGUUAGACACUCUCCCCUCCUCCUUAUCCACUCUUGAUACCAUUAUAUAUAUAGUUUUAUGGCCAGACUACAUCCAUCACAAAAUACAAG